AUACAAAAAGUUUUUUCUUAGGAUGUAAUAACGCUCGGACUCUGUUUGCCAGCAUCGUGCACAAUAAAUAAUCUAAGUUUCAUUUUGGAAAGAAUAUUUCAUGAUAAAGUUAGUUUAAUCAAUGACCUCUAUUUUGCGGACUUCCAUUUGAUCCAAGUUAAAGAUCUAAAAGGCGGUAACGAAUGGUUAUCUAGUGGUGUGUUAACUUUUGUUUGUGUAAGUUUAGGUCUUUCUUUUCUCAUGACAAUAAUCGGAACGAUGUAUGAUAUUUUUGUCCAUCAAAAGAAUGUA